rnacentral:rRNA from 1 species
UACGGGGGGGCAAGCGUUGUUCGGAAUUACUGGGCGUAAAGGGUCUGUAGGUGGCUUGCUAAGUCAGACGUGAAAUCCCUCGGCUUAACCGGGGAACUGCGUCUGAUACUGGCGAGCUUGAGUGCAGGAGAGGAACGCGGAAUUCCAGGUGUAGCGGUGAAAUGCGUAGAUAUCUGGAGGAACACCGGUGGCGAAGGCGGGUCUCUGGGCCGGAAACUGACGCUGAGGAGCGAAAGCGUGGGAGCAAACAGG